rnacentral:rRNA from 1 species
GACGAGGGACCCUAGCGUUGUUCGGAAUCAUUGGGCGUAAAGCGGAGGUAGGUGGCUUGGUAAGUCGAAUGUGAAAUCCCUCGGCUCAACCAAGGAAGUGCAUCCGAAACUGCUGAGCUUGAGUACUUAAGAGGAUCGCGGAAUUCCCGGUGUAGAGGUGAAAUUCGUAGAUAUCGGGAGGAACACCAGUGGCGAAGGCGGCGAUCUGGGAAGAUACUGACGCUGAGGUGCGAAAGCGUGGGGAGCAAACAGG